AGUCGUAACAAGGUUUCCGUAGGUGAACCUGCGGAAGGAUCAUUGUCGUGACCCUUAAACAAAACAGACCGUGAACAUGUCAUCCAUGUCGCCGGGCUUCGGUCCGGCAUAGGCCCCCCGACCUCUAAUUCAGAGGAGAGGGGGCCACAAAAGAACCCACGGCGCCGAAGGCGUCAAGGAACACUGAUAUUGCCUUGCACGGGACCGCGUUUGGCCUGCCAUUCGUGCCCCAUGCAGCGAUGCUAUAUGAAUCAACACGACUCUCGGCAACGGAUAUCUCGGCUCUC
rnacentral:misc_RNA from 1 species